rnacentral:rRNA from 1 species
AUGUCUCUAGAUCUUAAUAUAGACCUCAUACGGAAGAUUCUGCAAAUACUAGAGCGUAACCCUUAUGCAGAAGUAUUCAAGAGCCUGGGGGCUGUCCCGAAUCUAGAUGAGUAUAGAAUCUCACUAAACACGGAUAUAAGCUUGGAUCAACGAAGGUACAAUGCCCCAACGACUUCCCAAGUGGCAGCGAUAUGGGUUGAAGGGAGCGACCCACAAAAUUGCUUUGACAGGAGUGUAGUUGUGCAUGGAAAAAAAGGAGACCGGCCCUUGUAUAUUAGAGCAUACUAUGGGUGCUACGACCCAUUGUCAUAUCCACUAUUCUUCCCACGUGGAGAGAUUGGUUGGAAUCGUUGCAUGCCAUAUGUUGGGCCCACGGAUGACACGACCCAACAUUCAGUACAUAUGUCUGCCGCACAAGGAAACCAAGGCUCUGAUUUAUAUAUAGAUGACAAUGACGAUAACCCAUAUGAGGAUUUUGGUGACGAUGAGGUCAAUGAAACACAGUCCAGAAAAUUUGUUAGUGCGAGGGAGUACUACUGCUUCAAGCUGCAGGUCAGAAAGAAGCUUCUUAACAUUAGCUUGUUUGGGGAUCGCCUUUUCCAACAGUGGGUUGUUGACAUGUAUAUCAAGACUGAGACUAUGCAGCUUGACUGGUACUCAAAGCCGGAAAAUCUGAAGGUUAUACACGCUGACCUCUACCAGGGUCUUGUUGACACCGUCGUUGCCGGCAAGUCACGCGGUGACCGGAUUGGCAAAAGAAUCAUGCUUCCACGUACAUUUCCUGGUGGUGAUCGCGACAUGCAGCGGAGGUUCCUCGAUGCGAUGGCGAUAGUGCAGCGGUGGGGUAAACCAGAUUAUUUUGUCACGAUGACUUGCAAUCCCUAUUGGGAGGAGAUAACCGAGAAACUGUUUCCUGGACAACUCCCGCAAGACCGUCCAGACCUGGUGGCAAGAGUAUACAAAGUUAAACAGCGAGAUAUGAUGGACUUACUAACUAAGGGUAAGCAUUUCGGAGAAGUCGCAGCGUAUGUACAUGUCACGGAGUUUCAGAACCAAGGUCUCCCGCAUGAGCAUAUACUUCUAAUCAUGAAAGCAAAAAGCAAGUUAGCGACCCCAGAUGACUAUGAUCGGGUGAUAUGUGCUGAGAUACCUAACAAAGAGAAACACCCCAUUCUACAUGAUCUGGUCGUCAAACACAUGCUGCACGGACUGUGUGGUGAGUUGAAAAAAAGUUUCCCUUGCAUGAUUGAUGGAUAG